CGCGUAGGUGGUAGUGUAAGUCUGGGGUGGAAUCCCAGGGCUCAACCCUGGAACUGCCUUGGAAACUGCAUUACUUGAGUCAGUGAGGGGAGGGUAGAAUUCCUGGUGUAGCGGUGAAAUGCGUAGAUAUCAGGAGGAAGGCCUGUGGCGAAGGCGGCCCUCUGGCGCUGGACUGACACUGAGGCGCGAAAGCGUGGGGAGCAAACAGGAUUAGAUACCCUGGUAGUCCACGCCCUAAACGGUGGGCACUAGGUGUAGGGCUCGUAAGGGUUCUGUGCCGAAGGGAAACCAUUAAGUGCCCCGCCUGGGGAGUACGGCCGCAAGGUUGAA
rnacentral:rRNA from 1 species